rnacentral:rRNA from 1 species
AAUUUUGGACAAUGGGGGAAACCCUGAUCCAGCCAUCCCGCGUGUUCGAUGAAUGCCUUCGGUUUGUAACGCACUUUUGUCAGGGAAGAAAAUGUUCUGGCUAAUACCCGGAACUGAUGACGGUACCUGAAGAAUAAGCACCGGCUACCUACGUGCCACCGUCCGCGGUAAUACGUAGGGUGCAAGCGCUAUUCGGAAUUACUGGGCGUAAAGCGUGGGCAGGCGGUUCGGAAAGAAGGAUGUGAAAUCACAGGGCUAAACCUUGGAACUGCAUUCUUAACUACCGAACUAGAGUAUGUCAGAGGGGGGUAGAAUGCCGCGUGUAGCAGUGAAAUGCGUAGAUAUGCGGAGGAAUACAGAUGGCGAAGGCAGCCACCUGGGAUAAUACUGACGCUCAUGCACGAAAGCGUGGGUAGCAAACAGG